GGAGUUGUAGCUCAGUGGUAAAGCACUUGCCUCACAAGUGUGAGGCACUGGGUUCAAUCCUAGCACCA
rnacentral:tRNA from 1 species